AAAGUGUAUACAUGUAUGUAGAAGGGGUUUUAGAAGGUGCAUAAACGUGCGUGGACGGUGUGUAAAGGUGCGUGGACGGUGUGUGGACGGUGUGUAAAGGUGCGUGGAUGUGUGUGGACGGUGUGUAAAGGUACGUGGACGGUGUGUGACGGUGUGUAAAGGUGCGUGGACGGUGUGUAAAGGUGCGUGGACGGUGUGUGGACGGUGUGUAAAGGUGCGUGGACGGUGUGUGGACGGUGUGUAAAGGUGCGUGGACGGUGUGUAAAGGUGCGUGGACGGUGUGUAAAGGUGCGUGGACGGUGUGUAAAGGUGCGUGGACGGUGUGUAAAGGUGCGUGGACGGUGUGUGGACGGUGUGUAAAGGUGCGUGGACGGUUUGUAAAGGUGUGCAGGUGUGUAAAUGUGUAUAAAGGUGUGUAGAAGGUGUGUACAUGAGAGGAUGUAUGGGUCACGGGUCUCUUGGCUAACAGUGAGACGGUGGUGUAUAAUAGCAGCAUGGGAGCGAGAGGUGAGCUAACAGCAUUUUGAGUCUGCAGGAAGAAGAGAGUGAUGCAAUUAGAGAGAAAUGAUGAGGCAAAAGACGAGAGAAAACGGAAAGAGCAAUGCUGCUACAGCUCCCGAUCAGAUGGGAUGAAGAGGAAUAAAAUACGAGACGGCAGAUCAUUAGCGGAUCAUCAUCCAGCAGUUAAUGACGCAAUCAGGUUUAAUAACAAUCACAUAGCCAAAUAAGGAGGAAGCCUGCCGUGAACAUCUACACAACAGAAGAGUGAACAACAUCUACACAACAGGAGAGUGAACAACAUCUACACAACAGGAGAGUGAACAACAUCUACACAACAGAAGAGUAAACAACAUCUACACAACAGAAGAUGGGACAACAUCUACACAAC
ensembl:lncRNA